AGAGGUUGGGGUUGAUGAUCUCUGAAUUAGAGUGUCCUCUCUGGGUCAGUGGACCCAAGUGUGAUUCAUCAGUGGCAGAGUCAGUCUGCCAGUGUAGUCCUGUGUUUGUUGAGGGAAGAUGCUUGUCCGCUGACCUUGUGGUUCUAGACUUGACAGAUUUUGACGUCAUUCUAGGGAUGGACUGGUUAUCUACCCAUGCUGCUACCUUGGACUGCAGGGACAAGGUAGUCAGGUUCAGAGGUCAGGAUGGGUCUGAG
rnacentral:lncRNA from 1 species